GACGAACGCUGGCGGCGUGCUUAACACAUGCAAGUCGAACGGAAAGGCCCUGCUUUUGUGGGCUGCUCGAGUGGCGAACGGGUGAGUAACACGUGAGUAACCUGCCCUUGACUUUGGGAUAACUUCAGGAAACGGGGGCUAAUACCGGAUAGGAGCUCCUGCUGCAUGGUGGGGGUUGGAAAGUUUCGGCGGUUGGGGAUGGACUCGCGGCUUAUCAGCUUGUUGGUGGGGUAGUGGCUUACCAAGGCUUUGACGGGUAGCCGGCCUGAGAGGGUGACCGGCCACAUUGGGACUGAGAUACGGCCCAGACUCCUACGGGAGGCAGCAGUGGGGAAUAUUGCACAAUGGGAGGAAGCCUGAUGCAGCAACGCCGCGUGCGGGAUGACGGCCUUCGGGUUGUAAACCGCUUUCGCCUGUGACGACGCGUGAGUGACGGUAAUGGGUAAAGAAGCACCGGCUAACUACGUG
rnacentral:rRNA from 1 species